AAUUCUCAAACUUCAUUUAUGUUUUUUAAACAAUGAAGCUUGGAUAAUUGAGAGUUGCUAAAUUUCUUUAAUUUAGCUCUCUUAAAAUAUAUUAGCAAGAUCAUCACUGAUUGUCUAUGAUAUAAUAAUUAUCUAUAUCGUUAAAAUCUAAUGGUGAUGUGUUUUGCUUCUAAUUGUUUUUUCAAAAACAAAAAUACCAA
rnacentral:misc_RNA from 1 species